CGUGCCACACCCCGGUAAUACGUAGGUGGCAAGCGUUGUCCGGAAUUAUUGGGCGUAAAGCGCGCGCAGGCGGUUUCUUAAGUCUGAUGUGAAAGCCCCCGGCUCAACCGGGGAGGGUCAUUGGAAACUGGGGAACUUGAGUGCAGAAGAGGAGAGUGGAAUUCCACGUGUAGCGGUGAAAUGCGUAGAGAUGUGGAGGAACACCAGUGGCGAAGGCGACUCUCUGGUCUGUAACUGACGCCUGAGGCGCGAAAGCGUGGGGAGCGAACAGGAUUAGAUACCCUGGUAGUCCACGCCGUAAACGAUGAGUGCUAAGUGUUAGAGGGUUUCCGCCCUUUAGUGCUGCAGCAAACGCAUUAAGCACUCCGCCUGGGGAGUACGGUCGCAAGACUGAAACUCAAAGGAAUUGACGGGGGCCCGCACAAGCGGUGGAGCAUGUGGUUUAAUUCGAAGCAACGCGAAGAACCUUACCAGGUCUUGACAUCCUCUGACAACCCUAGAGAUAGGGCUUCCCCUUCGGGGGCAGAGUGACAGUKGUGCAUGGUGUCGUCAGCUCGUGUCGUGAGAUGUUGGGUUAAGUCCCGCAACGAGCGCAACCCUUGAUCUUAGUUGCCAGCAUUCAGUUGGGCACUCUAAGGUGACUGCCGGUGACAAACCGGAGGAAGGUGGGGAUGACGUCAAAUCAUCAUGCCCCUUAUGACCUGGGCUACACACGUGCUACAAUGGGCAGAACAAAGGGCAGCGAAGCCGCGAGGCUAAGCCAAUCCCACAAAUCUGUUCUCAGUUCGGAUCGCAGUCUGCAACUCGACUGCGUGAAGCUG
rnacentral:rRNA from 1 species